AAGAGUGGACACGUACCUUUUCACACAAGCUCUAUAAGAGCCAAAACCCUGUCGUUUCCCCAUCAGAAUUGUCAUCAGAGGUGUCACAGUCCUUGGUCACUUGUCGACCCUACUUCUAACCGAACUAGCUGAGACUGAGCCCGAGUCCCAACCACAAACGUGUGAGAUGAGCCUCUGCUGCUUUGGGGCACUGGAUGGCAUAAAGCAUCAGAACCCUGCGGUACUGCCUGGCUUACUGCAGCAGGAAGCUUCUAUAAAAGUGCUCUAACGUAAAGGAGCCUACUUGUCUUCCAUCCCAGCCUACUACAGAGGAGAGGAUCUUCCAAAUCAAGGGUGCACGCAGCCCAGUCCCACAGCGUCGACGGGACAAAUGGCAAGGAACACUAGCCAGCAAGGAAUCAAUGACCCAGGAGGCAUGCAAAAGGAACAACCUCAGCUGAAAAAAGCUUGAGACUCCAAGAUUUCAAAACACUCCAUGAUGAAGUUAGGAAACAGGAAAAAAAUUUCAAGUAUUGAAGACAGAAGAAGGAGUUUUGGCAAGAACCGUAUUUACUGUCCAUUGCAAGACCACAGCACCACAGACUACGUUCUUUCAAAAAGCAUUUUGCUCCAGCUUUUAGCACUGACUUCAUAAGUGACAACUGUCAUGACAGUGUGUGAUACAAAGGAUGUGAAAACAGUAGUCUGUGUGUGUCCCCCCCCGCAAUGGUGGUCCCCAGCACCGGGUGGCCUCCAAGCCCCCCCACCCCCACUCACCCAGACAGAGCCUGGGGGGAUGCUGGCUGUGUUCUCAGUGCAGGCAGGGUAGUGCUGGUUCCGCCUUGCUAGAUUAAAUGCCUCCCCAGGUCAGGAACAUGUACCCCAGUAGUUAAAUUAGAAGUACCAUGACUAAAUCCCCACCCCGGAAAUGACUGAGUCAUCAUUUCUCAAUAGCCCCUGAGAGUUCUGCCCCACCCUCUCCUCUAUCAUCUUAAGCUGCUGGGCAAUGUGGUCAUCACACAUAUUUUCACAUCCUUUAAAAAAAACAUAGUUGUUAAAAAAAAAAAAAAUGCCUGAAUGUGAACGGAUGCAAAGUCAGACAUUUACAAACAAAAAGGUUCAGAGCCGACUUUGGUUUCAUUCAAACCAGAAAUACUCUUAAAAAGCAUUACAGAGAGUAAGGACAGUGCAGAGAGCAGGAACAACGUGGCUAGAAUCUAGUAAAUGCAUGUGAAAUUCUACCAUAGAGUUUGUUUUCAAUCCACGUGGAGGGGAGGGUGCGAGGGAGGGGAGCGUUAUUACAGUCCACCAGGGGCGUCUCCUCCUCCGACAGGCCGUCGUCAUACAGCAGGGAGUCGGAUGGGGUGGACGCAGCCAGGUCCAAGUAGUCCUGGAAGGGAGAGAGAGCUGGUCACCCCUGGAGUGGGCCACUGCUGGACACGCCCACCCCACCCCUCACCCACGCACUGCCUGAGAGCAGAAGCCCCAGCCGAGUCCCAUCUUGCACCUAUCAACCUCUCACGAGAUCUGAGCCCCUGGCCAGAGUUGCCAGCGCUGAGUUCCCUCAGCCUCUGCCUCGUCCAGCCCUGCUCUGUGGUUCUCAUGGCAGAGAAUCACCUCCUUGGAGGCAGAAAGGUGUUCAUUCAUUGUCCUGGUCCUCUCUCUGCAGCGCUGGGGGCACCAGCCCCAGCACAGGAGAACAGGCCUGUUUAUAAAACCUGAGGCUCUGGGAUUGCAGCCCCGUGACUCAUGUGGGAAGGCCAAGACACAUUCCCCAUCUGCUCCACACUUUCUGGCUUCCCUCCAGGCACUCCUGCUAUCUCCAACAUCAAGUCAGGACCAAGAAAUCUGAGUCAUCGGUGUGGGUUUUGCACAAGACGCUGCUAGAGGGUUCAGCUCCCAAGCAGGAUGAUUUGUGAGGACCAGCUACUUCCCACUGCUCUGGAUAAAGGUCUUUGCUGAUGUCGGCAAACACUGGCCUCUUGUCUGGUUCCUGCUUCCAGCACUGCAGCAUCAGACUGUACCUGGUGGGACAAACAGCCUGUCGCUUCCAGCUGCCCAGUUCACCUGGGGCUGGCACCCAGGGCUGCCCAGCAGCGGAAAAGGAUGAGUGCACAUGACCCCACCCUGCCAAAGCCCGGAGCGUCAGUGUCUCGGGAGGCUGGACCAGAGAAAGCGUGCUCACAUCUCCUCGCUGCAGUUGUCCGGCCUCUCCAUCCGGUAGCCUGUCUUCAGAAGGUUGAAGAGCCGCUCUGGAGGAAUCCCAGGGUAGGGGUUGCCGCCCAGGGUCACAAUCUCCCACAGGAGGACGCCAAAAGACCACCUGCGGAACCAGAGGGCCAAUGAGUGGCUUCACUGGGUCUGUGGCACCCUCAGCACCCCAGAUAUCGUUCUCCUGCGCAGCAACAGGACCCGAGUUCCUUGUACAGAGAUCGGUCCAAGUGCCCACGGUUUCAGCCUGGGCUGACCAGACAGCCCAGGCUGACCAGACAGAUGGAAGUGGAAUGGAGGUGGGACCAGGUGUCUGCCUGCCCCACCCUGACCCCCUGACAAGCUGCUGCCCAAGCUCAGCCCCCACACCCAGAAGGGGCAGGUGGCUGACCCCUGAGGUGAAGCUCUGUAGCAUCAGAGACGGCACAGGGAAUGCAAAUGAGCGCAGUGAAAAGCAGGUGGAACCAAGGCCAUGGGACACUGGGCGCACUCUGCAAAACCCCUUCACUUUUUCUGUGUACUUGGAAAUUUUCAUAAGAUGUUAAAAGGAAAAAACAC